rnacentral:lncRNA from 1 species
CCACCUCCUCCUCCUCCUCCUCCUCCUCCUCUCACCCAGGAUCACUUCCGAAACCACUUGGCCUUCAGCCCCUGCCUCGGCCAGAGGUUUCAUUUUUAACUGAAUAUUUACGAAAGCUGAAAGCGUGCGAGGGGGGUGGGGUGGAAAUAGCGGCUGCUUCUUUUCCAAGGAUUUAUUUAAUGGGGAUGUGUUCAAGGCAAGACCGAAUUCAGAAGGAUAUCGACGUCGUGAUCCAGAAGUCCAGAGCUGAGGACUGCCUGUUUGCAGGGCCCGCCUGGCAGGACGACUGAGCAAGUUCUUGGAAAACCAGAGAUAUUAGAGCGGUGAAUCGCGCUGGUCACGUUGGACACCUGCGCGUUAGGAGAUUCUGGAGCCAGAGGGAGAGACCCCAGAAACGCCCCGGUCGGCGACCCAGCCCGAGACGCCUGGGGUCCCAAGGGAAGCUGAACGCCCGAAUGGGGAAAUGGAGAGAGAACCUGAAAGAGCCCCAAACUCGAGGACCUAUUGCUCCCCAAGAAUAACAUCUUCCAGAACUAGACAGAAAACUAGGCGUCUGGGAACCCUGAAAUCCUUGGAGGAGUAGAUCAUCAUGACCCUCUGUGUUCCUUUUGGCAAAUGACUUGCUUCCAUUGUUUGUUUGUUCAAUUGUCUGUUUGUUAAAUAAAUAAAACCCUUUUUAUGUAUCUUUAAAA